AGCGAGUGCUGGCGGCAGGCCUAACACAUGCAAGUCGAACGGACCCUUCGGGGUUAGUGGCGGACGGGUGAGUAACACGUGGGAACGUGCCUUUAGGUUCGGAAUAGCUCCUGCAAACGGGUGGUAAUGCCGAAUGUGCCCUUCGGGGGAAAGAUUUAUCGCCUUUAGAGCGGCCUGCGUCUGAUUAGCUAGUUGGUGAGGUAAUGGCUCACCAAGGCGACGAUCAGUAGCUGGUCUGAGAGGAUGACCAGCCACAUUGGGACUGAGACACGGCCCAAACUCCUACGGGAGGCAGCAGUGGGGAAUCUUGCGCAAUGGGCGAAAGCCUGACGCAGCCAUGCCGCGUGAAUGAUGAAGGUCUUAGGAUUGUAAAAUUCUUUCACCGGGGACGAUAAUGACGGUACCCGGAGAAGAAGCCCCGGCUAACUUCGUGCCAGCAGCCGCGGUAACAC
rnacentral:rRNA from 1 species